UGGUGGUUAUAGCAUGGAGGCUCCACCUCUUCCCAUUCCGAACAGAGAAGUUAAGCUCCAUAGCGCCGAUGGUACUGCCGUAUGGUGGGAGAGUAGGUCGCUGCC
rnacentral:rRNA from 1 species